GAGCUCUGAAUGCUUAUUGCACCACAUGUGUUUUUUAUUGAACAAAUUUCUUUGGUGGCGGGAGCAAUCCUACCGCCAGAGGUUAUAACUAAACCAAACUUUUUAUUUACAGUCAAACUUGAUUUAUUAUUACAAUAGUCAAAACUUUCAACAACGGAUCUCUUGGUUCUCGCAUCGAUGAAGAACGCAGCGAAAUGCGAUACGUAAUAUGAAUUGCAGAUAUUCGUGAAUCAUCGAAUCUUUGAACGCACAUUGCGCCCUUUGGUAUUCCAAAGGGCAUGCCUGUUUGAGCGUCAUUUCUCCCUCAAACCCCCGGGUUUGGUGUUGAGCAAUACGCUAGGUUUGUUUGAAAGAAUUUAACGUGGAAACUUAUUUUAAGCGACUUAGGUUUAUCCAAAAACGCUUAUUUUGCUAGGGGCCACCACAAUUUAUUUCAUAACUUUGACCUCAAAUCAGGUAGGACUACCCGCUGAACUUAAGCAUAUCAUAAGCGGGAAGGAA
rnacentral:rRNA from 1 species